CCUAAUUUCCUGAUCCUCAACACCCUCCACCACAUCCUGACCCUUCAUGUAUCAUGUAUGUCUUUUCUGUUCCUCAUACAGGGUUCAGAUGACUGCAGGUCUGAGGCACGGGCUCCCUCCACUAUGACGGUGGCUUGGCAUUCGGGACACCAGCUUCAGAUGGUGGCAGAGCUCUGGAGGCUGAGGAAAGGAGCCGAGGCCCAACAGGAAAGAAAGUUACCUACAGAAGCUUAUAGUCUCUUACGGAAACCUGUUGUUGCCAUCGAUGCCCCCCGUACCUUUCACCACUCAGAUCACUCAUGUCAACUCACCCCAUCUUGUCACUGUUGCCAGACGACAUUCGGGAAGAAUCCAUAACCCUGCCAUAGAGUAAAAAACAGUCCUUUCAGAAAACGUUAUCUGGUUAUAUUAUCCAAAAUCAAGACUUUUCACCUCAAAACUGGCUUGGAGAAAUCAUGGGUUCCUAUCAAGACGCCAAAUGGUACGGCAUGUUGCAUCCUCCUCCCAAAACUUCAGAAGUCCUAAGGAACUAUGCACCCCA
rnacentral:lncRNA from 1 species